rnacentral:rRNA from 1 species
GACGAACGCUGGCGGCGUGCUUAACACAUGCAAGUCGAGCGGUAAGGCCCUUUCGGGGGUACGACGAGCGGCGAACGGGUGAGUAACACGUGGGUGACCUGCCCUCAGCUCUGGGAUAAGCCUGGGAAACCGGGUCUAAUACUGGAUAUGACUCCAUGACGCAUGUUGUGGGGUGGAAAGCCUUGUGCGGCUGAGGAUGGGCCCGCGGCCUAUCAGCUCGUUGGUGGGGGAUGGCCUACCAAGGCGACGACGGGUAGCCGGCCUGAGAGGGCGACCGGCCACACUGGGACUGAGACACGGCCCAGACUCCUACGGGAGGCAGCAGUGGGGAAUCUUGCGCAAUGGGCGAAAGCCUGACGCAGCGACGCCGCGUGAGGGAUGACGGCCUGG